GCGGGAUUGGAACAACAUGAAGGUGAGUAAUUAAUGACACGAUUUUCAUUUUUGGGUGAACUAAACCUUUUGACUUUUUGUCCAAAUGACUGAUAGGAUCUGCUAACAGAUAACUAUAACAAGUAUUAACACAUUUCUGUUAUGACAUUUUCAUCUGGUGAAAAAAAAAAAGUAUUAUGCAUUAAUGCACGCCAGUUGGCUGUUCUUUUCCUGCCUCAGUACUGUUACAAUAGAAGCAGUGAUGGCAUACAAAGCGAACAGAGUAAAAUGACCUUUAAUAACAAGGAAAGGGAGAAAGCUGGAUACAAUGCAGUAGGUUUUCAUGUCAUGGGAAAGCAAGCCCAGAGCACAGAGAUUGUGAAUUAAAGCACCAGAAUGGCAUCAGUCGAGAAACCAGAUACUGUACGUCUAUCUCGCAAACCUGGCACCCUUCCUUUGGUUCUCUUCAGCCUCUGCAUUACAUUCACACAGAGACUGCAUUGUUCAGAAAAGUACAAGAUCGCAAGAAAACAACAGUCCAAAAAGAGGGUUACAGGCGGUUAUAUAAGAACAUGUGUGGUGACAUGUUACCUUGACAACAUAUGAUGAAUGUGGUUGUCAGGUAUGUGUGUGCGACUUUGCCAAACGUCACAUGCUUAUAAAUAGAAAGUUGUUCUGAACUGGCAUUUGGUAUAGAAACGUUGCAGUAUUUGAACAUACUGUAACUUUUGGGUAGAGGCAUCUCAAAUAGUUUUAAAUGUAAACUCAAAGAGUCCCCUGUGUGGAGCUCCUCUGAGAGCAGAUGAUGUAAAAUGCUGAGUCACCCUUACUGAGCUGAAUCAAUGGAUAUACAAGCUGUUAUAAAUCGUCUGCACCGAAAUGAUGGAAUGCAGCUUAUUCCAGAAUAAAGGUUCCUUCAAAAGUGGAAAUGUUCUUGUCAGGUCAUGCUACAGAUCUAUUCAGCCAUGCUUUUCUUCACUGGAGAACGUCCAGAAUGCAGAAACAGACAUGUGGUGAGAUAUGAAUAAAACUGCUGAAUCAUGAUACCCCUGUGGAUAUGCAGAGAAAUGAAGAGCUGGCCUGCUGAAGUUCCCAAGAAAUCCACAGGUGGUCUACAGAGACAAUCGUCUGGCUUUUGCAAAACCUAAUGUAGGAAGAGAGAGGAGCAGAGAAAUUCUGUCAUGUAGGAACAGUCCGAGGGUCACAGCGUGGGUCAGUCUGUCUGAGCCUCCAAUCUGAGAGUCUCUGGGGGGAAGCUGCUUAUCUGCUCCGUCCCAUGAGAACAUGCACUGAGCGAAUCUUCCAUUAAACCCACAGAGAAUAUGAAACUGAACCUAAUAUCACUGUCUAAGCCCUUCAUAUAUCACGGUCUAAGCCCUUGUUUUGUAUGUGGAUGAUUCUCUGUAGUUGAAAAGCUCAGAGAAUACAGACCUCCGAGUGUUGUCUACACAGCCAGAAAACUCAAAAAUCAUUAAAACCAUUAAACUUUUAAGUUUCUCAAUUUUUUAUUUACAGUGUUUAUGAAAUAAG